AACGAACGCUGGCGGCAUGCCUAACACAUGCAAGUCGAACGAGCCCUUCGGGUUUAGUGGCGCACGGGUGCGUAACGCGUGGGAACCUGCCCUUUGGUUCGGAAUAACUCCCCGAAAGUAGCGCUAAUACCGGAUACUCUCUUCGGACCAAAGAUUUACUGCCUUUGGAUCGGCCCGCGUUUGAUUAGCUAGUUGGUAGGGUAAUGGCCUACCAAGGCGACGAUCAGUAGCUGGUCUGAGAGGAUGAUCAGCCACACUGGGACUGAGACACGGCCCAGACUCCUACGGGAGGCAGCAGUGGGGAAUAUUGGACAAUGGGCGAAAGCCUGAUCCAGCAAUGCCGCGUGAGUGAUGAAGGCCUUAGGGUUGUAAAGCUCUUUUACCCGGGAUGAUAAUGACAGUACCGGGAGAAUAAGCUCCGGCUAACUCCGUG
rnacentral:rRNA from 1 species